UUUCACGUUCUCUGCAUAUUAUUCAUUUUUCUUCAUCUUCUUCCCAAAAUGGAAGACAUGACCAUCACACAAAAAUCAUUCUUAACCCAAUUCAAAAAUCGAAAUCGAAAUUGAAAUCCAUUCAAAAUCUUGAGUUCCUCAUCUCAAAAUCGAAAUCCAUUUGAAAUUCAAUUCUUCCAUUCAAAAUCGAAAUCAUGUUCUUCCAUGCGGUUUGAAAUCGAAAUGCAAUUCCGCUUUGAACCGGUUGAUUGGUAUCCAUGGGGUGAAGAAGCUUUCGCCGAAGCUCGCCGCAGAGAUUCUCUUUUCGUUGUUGUAGUGGUGAUGAUGGGUAAGUGCUUUUCGUAUCAUUCACUCCGCCCUUGUUCCCAAAUUGUUCUCAAAUCACAAAGAUUGAGGUGAGGUUCAGUUUGUUUAUUCUAGUUUGUUUGUUCCUUCAGUUAGUUAAUUUUUUUGUGUAGAUUUUUUGGGGUUUUAAAAGGUUUUACAUCUUAAUUUUGCUGCUGAGGAAUGUUGUAACUGCAUUUGAUUUACAAGACAGUUUUGUGAUGUCAAACCUUUGUUUAUCUUUGUUAUGUUUUUGAAUUUUUGUUCGUAAUAUCUGUCCUUGAUUGUGUUUGUAGUUCUGAGCGUAUUUGAUAGUUGAUAGUGCCUGCAAUUUUGCCUGGUAAGAUUGGCUUACCCUGUUUUAGCUGUCUUGACAUAGUUGAUUACUGAUUUCCAGAGUGUAUGCCUAAUUCAUGUGCCGCUGCAUUUCUGCUUCUAAUAAAUACUACUGCAUUUGAUGUAGCCAAACUAAAAAUGAAAUUCUCCUGGGAUUGCAUGAUUAAUAGAAGCACUUGACAAUCACUUCUGUGUAUGCAUCAAUUGCUUCUGUUCUUGAUCUAGGUCAAUUUUGUGGGCAAUCACUUCUGUGUAUGCAUCCCUAAUUGUAAAAUUAAAAAUACUAUUUAAUUUGCCUAUCAUUGAAACACAUAAUUGCAAGUCAAGAUAAGAUUAAGGUGAACCUUGGAGGGUUGUUUCUAUUGCUAAAAUUCUCACACUCUUGAUCAAAAUAUGACCAACAAACUGCAGCCAUUCUAAACAGCUUACAAGAGCAUAACUUUCUUUUGUCAUUAGAUAGGGAGUUUAUCUUGUCAUUAGGAGUUUAUCUUGUCAUUACAAGAACAUAAUUGUUUCAGAUUUUUUUAAAGAACAGUCACCUAUUUUGUCAGGUUAACAGUCGAUGAAGUUUAUUUUAGUAUCUUUAUGGUCUCAGCUAAUUGUUAUUACUGUCAACUGUAGAGAGUUUGCUGAGCUUUGCUUCGUUAAUAUGUCUUUCUGCUGUCAUGUAGUUGGCGUUGUCUUGAAUUUUUUUUGGAGGAAUCUUAUCCCCGAAAACCAUAUUUAUCGACUUUCAACCUCCAGUAGAAUAUUAAAUUUAUCAAGCAGAAGAAGAAAAGUUGUCUGUCCUACUCAAUAGCAUCAUAAUUCAUCCUUUUUAUAAAAGUAAAGAUUGCAUAGGUUUCAGCUAUCUAAACAUUGAGGCAUAAAUCUGCAGGAUUUCAAUGCAAAGCUUUCAGACUUUGGCCUUGCAAAGGAUGGGCCGAUGGGGGACCAAACACAUGUUUCAUACCUCUUCAUAUAAAUAAAUUAACUACAAUUUUGGUUCUUAACACCAAGUGAACUUAAUGUUUUAUGCUGCAUUGAGAACGCAUUCUAUAAGCUUUUAUUUACCCGAGACACGGGUCAUUCUGUGAGAUAAACUGUUGAUCCUGUUUCUUUAAUGGCAUCAGUAGCUACGGUUGUUCUGUUUAUCAUCUGAUUCACUAUUAUUUUGAUCAUCAGGUUUAGGUUGUUUUUCUUAUUGUCUGAGUUGCAUUAGAGAACAGGCCUAAUUUUUGUCUCUUGAAGUAGGGGUCGGUGUUAAUAGGUGCUACAGAGGCCUCUUUCAAUUGAAAAGGGUUUUUGAGUGCAAUGGCUCUUAACGAAUCAAUCUCGUAAUGUUAUUAGCGAACACCUGUCUCACCAAUUAACGUAUUAGGAUCUGGUCUAGCUUUUUAUGGUGUUUUCCUAUUUUCCAGAAUGAAGAGAAUUAAGCCAAAGACAGCCUAAUGUUCAGGUGUAUUUAUUCAGAAUUACGUUGAUGCAAAUAUUAAGGGAUUUGGAAGAUAUUGCCAUACGAUUUUUGAUGCAAUUCUGCAAAUAUUAAGGAGUUUGAAAGAUAUCAUUAUGUUUUUACCAUACACCGUAUUAAACUCUUGAUGCAAUUAUGCAAAAAUUACGGAAUUUGAAAGAUAUCAUUAUGUUAUUACCAUAUGAGUAACCAAAAAAAAAAAAUUAUAUUUUCUCUGUUGUUUUAUGA